UGGGGAAUAUUGCACAAUGGGCGCAAGCCUGAUGCAGCCAUGCCGCGUGUGUGAAGAAGGCCUUCGGGUUGUAAAGCACUUUCAGCGAGGAGGAAGGUGGUGAGCUUAAUACGCUCAUCAAUUGACGUUACUCGCAGAAGAAGCACCGGCUAACUCCGUGCCAGCAGCCGCGGUAAUACGGAGGGUGCAAGCGUUAAUCGGAAUUACUGGGCGUAAAGCGCACGCAGGCGGUUUGUUAAGUCAGAUGUGAAAUCCCCGGGCUCAACCUGGGAACUGCAUUUGAAAACUGGCAAGCUAGAGUCUCGUAGAGGGGGGUAGAAAUUCCAGGUGUAGCGGUGAAAUGCGUAGAGAUCUGGAGGAAUACCGGUGGCGAAAGGCGGCCCCCUGGACGAAAGACUGACGCUCAGGUGCGAAAAGCGUGGGG
rnacentral:rRNA from 1 species